UGGCUCAGAUUGAACGCUGGCGGCAGGCCUAACACAUGCAAGUCGAACGGUAGCACAGGAGAGCUUGCUCUCUGGGUGACGAGUGGCGGACGGGUGAGUAAUGCAUGGGGAGCUGCCCAAUCGAGGGGGAUACCAGCUGGAAACGGCUGCUAAUACCGCAUACGCCCUGAGGGGGAAAGGUGGGGACCUUCGGGCCUACCGCGAUUGGAUGCACCCAUGUGGGAUUAGCUAGUUGGUGAGGUAACGGCUCACCAAGGCGACGAUCUCUAGCUGGUCUGAGAGGAUGACCAGCCACACUGGAACUGAGACACGGUCCAGACUCCUACGGGAGGCAGCAGUGGGGAAUAUUGCACAAUGGGGGAAACCCUGAUGCAGCCAUGCCGCGUGUGUGAAGAAGGCCUUCGGGUUGUAAAGCACUUUCAGUAGGGAGGAAGGGGUUGAUGUCUAAUACGCAUCAACAUUGACGUUACCUACAGAAGAAGCACCGGUUAACUCCGUGCCAGCAGCCGCGGUAAUACGGAGGGUGCAAGCGUUAAUCGGAAUAACUGGGCGUAAAGCGCACGCAGGCGGUUGGAUAAGUCAGAUGUGAAAUCCCCGGGCUCAACCUGGGAACUGCAUUUGAAACUGUCUGACUAGAGU
rnacentral:rRNA from 1 species